CACCGUUUACUAGAAAAUCAGUAUCCUACUCGGAUAACUGUGGCAAUUCUAGAGCUAAUACGUGCGAAAAAGCUCGUUUCGCAAGAUUCGAGCGCAUUUAUUAGAAUAAAAACCAAUCGGGCCCAUAAAGCCCGUAAUUUGGUGAAUCUGAAUAACUUUGCCGAUCGCACGGUCCUAGUACCGGCGACGUAUCUUUCAAGUGUCUGCCUUAUCAACUUUCGAUGGUAGGUUAUACGCCUACCAUGGUAGUAACGGGUAACGGAGAAUAAGGGUUCGACUCCGGAGAGGGAGCCUGAGAAACGGCUACCACAUCCAAGGAAGGCAGCAGGCGCGCAAAUUACCCACUUCCAGAACGGAGAGGUAGUGACGAAAAAUAACGAGACAGUCCUCUUCGAGGUCUGUCAUCGGAAUGGGUACAAUUUAAAUCCUUUAACAAGGAUCUAUUGGAGGGCAAGUCUGGUGCCAGCAGCCGCGGUAAUUCCAGCUCCAAUAGCGUAUAUUAAAGUUGUUGCGGUUAAAACGCUCGUAGUUGGAUCUGCGGCCUCGGAGAACGGUCCCCCGAAAGGGCGGUCACUGUUACUCCAAGCCUAAAUAUCUAGUCUACUCUACGGUGCUCUUAACCGAGUGCCUAGAGUGACUGGAACGUUUACUUUGAAAAAAUUAGAGUGCUUAAAGCAGGCGAAAUAGCCUGAAUAAGGUGCAUGGAAUAAUGGAAUAGGACCUCGGUUCUAUUUUGUUGGUUUUCGGAGCCCGAGGUAAUGAUUAAGAGGAACAGACGGGGGCAUUCGUAUUCCGGCGCUAGAGGUGAAAUUCUUGGACCGCCGGAAGACGGACGACUGCGAAAGCAUUUGCCAAGAAUGUUUUCAUUAAUCAAGAACGAAAGUUAGAGGUUCGAA
rnacentral:rRNA from 1 species